rnacentral:rRNA from 1 species
CCUACGGGCGGCUGCAGUGAGGAAUAUUGGUCAAUGGUCGGGAGACUGAACCAGCCAAGCCGCGUGAGGGAUGAAGGUACAGAGUAUCGUAAACCUCUUUUGUCAGGGAACAAAGGCGGGGACGUGUCCCCGGAUGAGUGUACCUGAAGAACAAGCAUCGGCUAACUCCGUGCCAGCAGCCGCGGUAAUACGGAGGCUGCGAGCGUUCUCCGGAUUUAUUGGGAGUAAAGGGUGCGCAGGCGGUCUGUUAAGUCAGCGGUCAAAGCCCGGGGCUCAACCCCGGCCCGCCGUUGAAACUGGCAGUCGCGAGUUGGAGAGAAGUAUGCGGAAUGCGCGGUGUAGCGGGGAAAUGCAUAGAUAUCGCGAAGAACUCCGAUUGCGAAGGCAGCAUGCCGGCUCCACACUGACGCUGAGGCACGAAAGCGUGGGUAUCGAACAGGAUUAGAUACCCCUGUAGUC